AAGAGCCGUAUGAAUCGAGAGGUUCACGUACGGUUCUGUGAGAGCCUGAGGGGGAAGUUCCCUCGGGCUACUCGAC
rnacentral:ncRNA from 1 species